GGCUUUUUGAUUAUAAUUUAAAGUYUAACCUGCCCAAUGAGUAGUUUAAUGGCCGCAGUAUCCUGACUGUGCAAAGGUAGCAUAAUAACUAGUUUYUUAAUUAGAAGCUUGUAUGAAAGGUUGAAUGAGAAAAUAACUGUCUCUGUAAAAAUUAUUUAGAAUUUUAUUUUUAAGUAAGAAAGCUUAAAUAUUUAUAGAAGACGAGAAGACCCUAUAGAAUUUUAUAUUUUUUUAUUUAAAAAAGGUAUUAGUAUUAAUUAUUUUUAUAUAAAAAAGUAUUUGAUUGGGGCGAUUGAAAAAUUAAUUUAACUUUUUUUUUAUAAAAACAUUGAUUUAUGAGUAUAUGAUCCUUUAAUAAAGAUUAUAAGAUUAAAUUACCUUAGGGAUAACAGCGUAAUUUUUUUUAAGAGUUCUAAUCGAUAAAAAAGAUUGCGACCUCGAUGUUGGAUUAAAAUAUAUUUUUGGUGUAGAAGCUGAAAAAUUAGGUCUGUUCGACCUUUAAUAUUUUACA
rnacentral:rRNA from 2 species